rnacentral:misc_RNA from 1 species
GAAAGAAGAAGGCUGUUGCAGAGCUCAUCAGUCCUUAAUGGCCAUUAGGAUGACCUUCCCAACUGUAGUGUAUAAGCAAAUCUUGGAGUUGUCGAACAACCGAAAACAAGAUGGAUCAUUCUUUUAAUGCAGGACACCCAAUUAGAUCCAAGAUCAUAAGCUAAUCAACUCCACAAAGACAACAUGCAACAAUUACACCACCACCCAUGAAGCUAAAAACCAACACAGGAAGCAGACGAAACCAAGCAAAGAUUCAAACUCAGCUUUCU